ACGAUCAAUAAUAAUGUGAGAGGUUAUCCUUUUGCAAUUAGAAUGAACUAAAGUUAAAACGCUAAAUUACGAUCAAUUGGAGGGCAAGUCUGGUGCCAGCAGCCGCGGUAAUUCCAGCUCCAAUAGGGUAUACCGAAGUUGUUGCAGUUGAAAAGCUCGUAGUCGUAUUUCUGGCGGGUUGAUGCUUUGAAUUCAGCUUGACGAAAGUCGAGUUGUUUCAUGGCCACCUGUCAUUUUGUGGGUUAAAGUUAAGUUUAUGUGCGCAAGUAUGUAUUCUUAGCUCCACUCCGUCACUGAGAGCAAAUUGGAGUGCUCAAAGCAGGCUUUACAGCUUUGAACAUCUUAGCUUGGAAUGACAAAGUACGACUACUCGUUCACUUUGUUGGUUAUGAAUGGGAAGUAAUGAUAAAUAGGAACAGUUGCGGGGGUACUCGUACUGGAAAGUCAGAGGUGAAAUUCUUGGAUUUUUCCACGACGAACGACUGCGAAAGCAUUUACCAAGGAUGUUUUCAUUGAUCAAGAACGAAAGUGCGAGGAUCGAAGAUGAUUAGAUACCAUCGUAGUUCGCACAGUAAACGAUGCCGACUCGGGAUUGACAUUUGUUUCGUUUAUAGAAGAAUGUCAGCACCGUAUGAGAAAUCAAAGUCUUUGGGUUCCGGGGGGAGUAUGGUCGCAAGGUUGAAACUUAAAGAAAUUGACGGAAGGGCACACCAGAGGUGGAGCCUGCGGUUUAAUUUGACCCAACACGGGGAAACUCACCAGGUCCAGUCAUGAGAAGGAUUGACAGUUUGAAAGCACUUUCUUGAUUUCAUGGGUGGUGGUGCAUGGCCGUUCUUAGUUGGUGGAGUGAUUUGUCUGGUUGAUUCCGAUAACGAACGAGACUCUCGGAGUAAACUGGUUUAGAUGGUAAUUCACGUUACUUUCGGCCUCUUUUCUCGACAAUUCGUUUUAAACGAAAGGAAGCGGAGAGCAAUAACAGGUCUGUGAUGCCCCUCGAUGUUCUGGGCUACACGCGCGCUACAAUGACGAGUUCAACGAGUUUUUUCCUUGCCCGGAAGGGUGUGGGUAAUCUUUUCAAUGCUCGUCGUGAUGGGGCUAGAUUUUUGCAAUUAUUAAUCUUCAACGAGGAAUCUCUAGUAUGUGCAGUUCAUCAGACUGCGCAGAAUGCGUCCCUGCCCUUUGUACACACCGCCCGUCGCACCUACCGAUUGGACGAUACGGCAAGAUGUCUGGAGUUGUGUCUUUUGCAGCAAUGCUUUUGACGCGAUGAAGUUCCUCAAACCUUAUCAUCUAGAGGAAGGUGAAGU
rnacentral:rRNA from 1 species